CCUACGGGAGGCUGCAGUAGGGAAUCUUCCGCAAUGGACGAAAGUUUGACGGAGCAACGCCGCGUGAGUGAAGAAGGUUUUCGGAUCGUAAAACUCUGUUGUAAGGGAAGAACAAGUACGUUAGUAACUGAACGUACCUUGACGGUACCUUACCAGAAAGCCACGGCUAACUACGUGCCAUCAGCCGCGGUUAUACGUUGGUUGCAAGCGUUAUCCGGGAUUAUUUGGCGGAAAGCGCGCGUAGGCGGUGUCUUUAGUAUGAUUAUACAGCCCCCGGCGCAACCCGGGAGGGUCACUUGCAAGUAGGAGACUUGAGUGCAGAAGAGGAGAGUGGAAUUCCAUGUGUAGCGGUGAUAUGCGCAGAGAUAUGGGGGGACGCCAGUGGCGAAGGCGGCUUUCUGGUCUGUCACUGACGCUGAGGUGCGAAAGCGUGGGGAUCAAACAGGAUUAGAUACCCCAGUAGUC
rnacentral:rRNA from 1 species